UCGAACGAGAAAGUGGAGCAAUCCAUGAGUAAAGUGGCGACCGGGUGAGUAACACGUGACUAACCUACCUCCGAGUGGGGAAUAACUCCGGGAAACCGGGGCUAAUACCGCAUAACAUCGCAAGAUCAAAGCAGCAAUGUGCUUGGAGAGGGGGUCGCGGCUGAUUAGCUCGUUGGCGGGGUAACGGCCCACCAAGGCGAAGAUCGGUAUCCGGCCUGAGAGGGCGCACGGACACACUGGAACUGAAACACGGUCCAGACUCCUACGGGAGGCAGCAGUGGGGAAUUUUGCGCAAUGGGGGAAACCCUGACGCAGCAACGCCGCGUGGAGGAUGAAGCCCUUGGGGGCGUAAACUCCUUUCGACUCGGACGAUAAUGACGGUACGAGUGGAAGAAGCACCGGCUAACUCUGUGCC
rnacentral:rRNA from 1 species